GUCGCCGCAAAAUCGGCGACCGGGAUUGGCGUCCCGUACUUACACGGCGCAACAGCGCCCAUCGAUCGAUGCUCGGCGCUUUUUU
rnacentral:sRNA from 4 species